UUGAGUGAACAAUCAUUAAGGAACUCGGCAAAUUGACUACCGUAACUUCGGGAUAAGGAGGGCCAUUAUCAUUAAUUUAACAUACCUUACAGGUAUGAUUUAAUUAAAUUAAGGAUAAGAGGAAACAUAAAAUAAUGUUGUACGACUGUUUAAUAAAAACACAGCACUCUGCAAAGAUAAAAUAUCAAAGUAUUGAGUGUGAUGUCUGCCCAAUGUCGGCUGGAUAACGGAUUUACCUUGGUUUUUAACUGAGGUUUUGAAGGAU
rnacentral:ncRNA from 1 species